rnacentral:rRNA from 1 species
GAUGAACGCUGGCGGCGUGCCUAAUACAUGCAAGUCGAGCGAACAGACGCGGAGCUUGCUCCUCUGACGUUAGCGGCGGACGGGUGAGUAACACGUGGAUACCCUACCUAUAAGACUGGGAUAACUUCGGGAAACCGGAGCUAAUACCGGAUAAUAUAUUGAACCGCAUGGUUCAAUAGUGAAAGACGGCUUUGCUGUCACUUAUCGCUGGAUCCGCGCCGGAUUGGCUAGUUGGUAAGGUAACGGCGUAUCAAGGCAACGAUGCGUAGGCGCACUGCGAGGGUGGUCGGCCACACUGGGACUGGGACACGGUCCAGACGCCUACGGGAGGCAGCAGUAGGGAAACGGCCGCAAGGGGCGAAAGCUUGACGGAGCUACGCCGCGGGAGGGAUGAAGGUCGUCGGGUCGGAAAACUCUGUUAUUAGGGAAGAACAAAUGUGUAAGUAACUAUGCACGUCUUGGCGGUAACUGAGCAGAAAGCCACGGCUAACUACGUGC